AGAGUUUGAUCAUGGCUCAGAUUGAACGCUGGCGGAAUGCUUUACACAUGCAAGUCGAACGAUGAACCUUAGCUUGCUAAGGGGAUUAGUGGCGAACGGGUGAGUAAUAUAUCGGAACGUGCCUUGUAAUGGGGGAUAACUAGUCGAAAGAUUAGCUAAUACCGCAUACGCCCUGAGGGGGAAAGUAGGGGAUCUUCGGACCUUACGUUAUAAGAGCGGCCGAUAUCUGAUUAGCUAGUUGGUGGGGUAAUGGCCUACCAAGGCGACGAUCAGUAGCUGGUCUGAGAGGACGACCAGCCACACUGGAACUGAGACACGGUCCAGACUCCUACGGGAGGCAGCAGUGGGGAAUUUUGGACAAUGGGCGCAAGCCUGAUCCAGCCAUUCCGCGUGAGUGAAGAAGGCCUUCGGGUUGUAAAGCUCUUUCGCAAGGGAAGAAAACUUACCAUCGAAUAAAUGGUGAGGCUGACGGUACCUUGAUAAGAAGCACCGGCUAACUACGUGCCAGCAGCCGCGGUAAUACGUAGGGUGCGAGCGUUAAUCGGAAUUACUGGGCGUAAAGCGUGCGCAGGCGGUUUGGCAAGUCAGAUGUGAAAUCCCCGAGCUCAACUUGGGAACUGCGUUUGAAACUGCCAGACUAGAAUAUGUCAGAGGGGGGUAGAAUUCCACGUGUAGCAGUGAAAUGCGUAGAGAUGUGGAGGAAUACCAAUGGCGAAGGCAGCCCCCUGGGAUAAUAUUGACGCUCAUGCACGAAAGCGUGGGGAGCAAACAGGAUUAGAUACCCUGGUAGUCCACGCCCUAAACGAUGUCUACUAGUUGUUGGUGGAGUAAAAUCCAUGAGUAACGCAGCUAACGCGUGAAGUAGACCGCCUGGGGAGUACGGUCGCAAGAUUAAAACUCAAAGGAAUUGACGGGGCCCGCACAAGCGGUGGAUUAUGUGGAUUAAUUCGAUGCAACGCGAAAACCUUACCUGGCCUUGACAUGCCACUAACGAAGCAGAGAUGCAUAAGUGGCCCGUAAGGGAAAGUGGACACAGGUGCUGCAUGGCUUGUCGUCCACCUCUUGUCUUGG
rnacentral:rRNA from 1 species